GACUCCAUGGUGUAAUGGUUAAGACGCCUGACGCAACUACAUAGAGCUGCACGUAAGCAUGCAUUCGGGAGGUCCCUGUUCGAUUCGGGGUGGGGUCA